CACUGUAGGUGGAACAUGGGUGAGAGGAAAGAAGCGGUAUCCAUCACUUAAAUACCAUCUAUGUAACUUCGAUUUUCCUCUCACACGUUAUAGUGCUUCAAAGACCUCGGUGGCUAUUAAGUUGCUUUCCAGAGGGUCAGAUUGCUGUCAAAAUGAGUGAAACACCUUCAACUAGUUACUCGGUGAAUCAGCCAAACUCCUCCGAGAGUGAACAGACUUUAUCCACACACCAUUUCAAUGUUACUGAACCUGUUGUGGCAAAACGGAUCUGUUUCUAUAAAAGUGGAGAUCCUCAGUUUAAUGGGAUCAAAAUGGUCAUCAACAACCGGUCUUACAAAACAUUUGAUGCCUUGCUGGAUAGUUUAUCCAAACGGGUCCCAUUACCCUUUGGAGUAAGGAAUAUUAGUACACCAAAAGGGAGACACAGCAUCACCAAUUUGGAGGAUCUUGAGGAUGGAAAAUCUUACAUUUGCUCCCAUCAGAGGAAAAUGAAGCCCAUCAACCUGGAACAGGCUAGCAAAAAGCCGCUGCCCUGGCAGAUCAGUAGGCCCGUCAGCGCUCGCCGUCGAGCUGUGCAAUUAGCAAGGGAGAAUGAAGAUGGAUUUGGCCAUCGAGAAAGCAAAAUAACAACUCCCAAAAAGAUGCUUGUUUACAAAAAUGGGGAUGUAAGACUCAGGCGCACCAUAGUUCUGGGAAAGAAAAAUACACAAACCUUUGAGGCCUUUCUGGAUUAUAUGAGUGAGUUAAUGCAAUACCCAGUUGUGAAACUAUAUACCACUGAUGGCAGAAAGGUUCCUAAUCUUCAUGCCCUGAUAUUGUGCUCUGGAGCUGUAGUCGCAGCGGGGAGAGAGCCUUUUAAACCAAGCAAUUAUGAUUCUCUUGGGUAUUCACGUCCUGCUAAAUUGCUUGCAAUUGCAAAUCGUGUGUACCCGAAAGCAAAUGCCAAGUCAGAAAGUGAAAAUACUAUGAAAUGGAAAGUGUCAGUCCUCACCAGUGAUAUGCCAUCUGCAGGAACAAGCUCAAAGGUUUAUGUUACAUUGUAUGGUGAUCACAGCAGUUCGGGGCCUAUUUUUCUUGAUGGAGAGGAGGGAAAAUUAUUUCAGAGAGGCAAUGAAGACAUCUUCACAGUUAAUACUGGAAACAUAGGACAUCUCUACAAAAUACGCAUAGGACAUACAAAUACAGGAAACUCCCCUGCCUGGCACUGUGAAGAGGUGCAGUUGCUGAACCUUUUCUCAGGGGAACAGUUUUCUUUCCCUGCACAUCGAUGGCUGGCCUGGGACCAGGCUGAUGGGGAAAUAUCUAUGGAGCUUCCUGUUUUACAGCAGGGUCAGCCUAUUCUUCCAGUGACUGUCUAUGAAGUGCAUGUGACAACAGGAGAACUGUGGAAUGCUGGAACUGAGGCUGAUGUCUAUAUUUCUAUCUAUGGAGAAAGAGGUGAUGCAGGAUCAAGACAGCUGCUCAGGUCACAGAAACCCAAGAAAUUUUUAAAAGGACAAACUGACAUCUUUGCUGUUGAAGCUGUACACCUUGGACAUUUGUACAAGAUUGUUGUAGGACACAAUGGUCUUGGGUCAGGAAACGGCUGGUUUCUGGACAAAGUUACAAUCAAGGAUCCUCUAACAGAUUUGGAUUAUACUUUUCUUUGUCACAGGUGGCUGGACCAGGGGCAGGAUGAUGGCAAUAUUGCUAGAGAACUGACUGUGACAGAUACCAGCACAUUUCCAGGAAGACAAGAGCUGGAACUCAGGAGACAGGAAACUUGGACUGCAGAAAAGUGGAAAUUUCAGGAAGGCAAUACACUUCAGUUUUACAACAGGCUCACCCAUGGCUUCAUUUGUCUCAGUCCAGACAGCAGAGUUGAUGCUCUUGGUGACAAGAAAAACAAAUACGGUCUUUUUGAUGUAAAUGUCAAAAGGAGAAAUAUAUAUAUAUUCAGCAGUCAUCACAUGCCACGUCUUGCUCUUGCUCUUGUCAAUGGCCAUGUAAUUGGAAAGGGGAAAGACAAGACUUGCUGUGAGCUCUGCAUUCACCUUCAACCAAAUGGUUGUGCCAUUCUUGAGUCGGCCAGGAACCCAGGUCACGCUGUCACGUUCAAUCUUCAAGGCAAAGUAGCUGAUGAAACAACAACAGGAUAUGCUGGACUUUCCAGAGAAUUUGUUGUGCAUGUCAAGGGUGUGUUUCACCAUGGUGCCAUCAUUCUGCUCAACACAAGUCUCUGCCAGGCUCUGUCCCUUAGACCUGAUGGGAGCUGCAGCGGAGCAGGUCAGCAGCAGCAGGAAUCCUACUGGAAGGUGCAUAAAAUUGGCUCUGGAGUCUGCAUGUUUGAAAGUGUGAGAAACCCAAGAAUGUAUCUGAAGAUCAAAGAUGACCAGUGUAACGGAACAGGCACAGGUGAUGAAUACUGUCACUUUAAAAUUGAGAAGAAUUUGGAAACUGGAUCUGUAAGUCUAGAAUCAGUGCAAAAUAAAGGGAUAUAUGUUGGUCUCCUGCCGGAUGGGCAGACUAAGCCAGUCAUUAACACUGGAGAGAGAAACAUUUUUUUCUACCCACAAGUCAUCAAAUUUGGCCGGAAAGAGCCUAUGGGAACAUCUGCAGCACCCAGUCAAGAGAAGAAAGACUUCAGAGAAUCUCCACUCCAACCAGCAAAAGCCCCAAAGUCAGCAUCUCAAAGCCUUUCAACUUUUCCACCCUCAAAGGAAAUGAGAAAUCCCCAAGGUGGUGAGUAUCCCCUUCCUUCAGAUGAUGAAUGGAAAGUGUCAUUGCUGACAGGAAACGCGGGAACUGAAGCAAAUGUCAUUCUCUGGAUAUAUGGAGACAGAGGAGUAGCUGGACCAAUAACUCUUGCCAAGGACAACAGAAAGCAGCUGUUUCUUCCCAGGCAGGAGGAUGAAUUUCAGGUUAAAAUAAAAAGCAUUGGGAAUAUCUACAAGAUAAGAAUUGAACUUGAUGGAUUACUGAAUGAGCAAUCAGAAUGGAACUUGCAAAGGGUGAUGCUGCAACACCUAAAGAGCAAGAAAACACUGAAUUUUCCAGCAAACACGUGGCUGUCAAAGAACCGUGAUGAUAGAAAUUUUCUCUGUGAACUUCCAGUAGUGGAAGCUGGAAAACCUGUCUAUCCAAUUGUUUUAUACCACGUUUAUGUCUACACUGGUGACUUGGAGCAAGCUGAUACAGAUUCUGCAGUUUAUCUGUGUAUCUAUGGAAAAAGAGGAGAUUCUGGUCUAAGACUUCUGCGUAAAUCUGGUAUACCAGCGACAUUUCAGAGAGGAAUGACCAAUGCUUUUGAAGUGGAAGCUGUAUCUCUUGGAAAACUGCAGAAGGUGCUGUUGCGCUGUGAGGCUAAUGCCAAGUCCCGGUAUUGGUACUGUGAUAAAGUCAUUGUCAGAGAAGCUGAGAACAGCUCGGAAUAUGUUUUCAAUUGUGAAAGGUGGCUUCCAUUUAUGUCCCAAGGUGUAACUCAUUCAGAAAUUGAGCUAUACCCUCAAGAAUUUCAAAUAAAUCAACAGCUGAAAAUGCAAGAAGCAAAUGAAGGAGACUGGAAGAUUACUGUAGUCACUGGGGAUUUUGAAACAGCUGGCACAACAGCAACAGUAUCCCUUUACGCUUAUGGAGAAAACAAAGCUUCUGGUCCUAUUAUUUUGGGAUCUGGGAAACACCAGCUGUUUAAUCCCAACAGUGAAGAUACAUUUAAGAUUAAUCUCAGGGAUGUUGGGCAGCUAUAUAAAAUUCGCAUUGGCCAUGACAACAGUGGAAAUGAUCCCAGUUGGUACCUGGAGGAAGUCAGACUUGAAAGACUAGUCCCUCUUUCUGAUGAAGAGAUUUGUCUCCCCAUAGAGUGCUGGCUUGCAGAAGACAAGGGAGAAGGUGAUACGUGGAGAGAAGUGGCAAUAAGAAACCCUGCAAAGGAGCUUUUGCCAUUGUUGGUGUAUGAGGUCCACGUAUACACGGGUGAUAAACUUGGUGCUGAAACAGAUUCUAAUGUUUAUAUCAACCUCCUUGGGACAAGAGGAGAUGCUGGCAAAAGGAGGCUCCAUAGAUCUAAGAAUAAUAAUGUAAAAUUCCGACAAGGACAGAUGGAUAUUUUCUACAUAAAGGCUGUCUCACUGGGAGACUUGGAGAAAGUUCUGAUUAGCCAUGAUGGAGCUGGUCCAGGCAAUGGAUGGUUCCUGGAUAAGAUUGUCAUCAAACAUAAUGAAGGAAAGGAAGCUCGGGAGGUUGUAUUUCCUUGUAAUAGAUGGCUAGAUGAAUAUCAAGAUGAUGGGAAAACUGAGAGGGAGCUAACUGCCAUUAACGAUGGCAAUUCACAGAAGGCAUUCCUUAAAGCACAACAGUGGAGAGUGCAGGUUCAAACAGAUGGAGAUUCCCCAGAGCCACAGGAGUGUAAAAGGACCCUUGUGAUUUAUGGCUCAAAGGGCAAAAGUGAUGAGCUUCUGCUUUCGCCGCAAACCCCAGGAUAUGUGCGCUUUCUACCUAGAGCAACAGAUGAAUUCAUUGUUGAGACUAGAGAUCUGGGAGAUGUCUACAAGAUUCGGGUCACCUGUGAUGAUGUGCCAGGCUUUGAGGGUUGGCAUUUGAAGUCUUUUCACUUAGAAGAGCUACACACAAAACAAGAACUGAACUUUGACUGUAACUGCUGGCUCUCUCUUAAUAGAGAAGACAAGGAGCUGGUGAAAGAAUUCCCUGCAGUCAAUGAGGACCAGAAAACUUUACCAGUCUAUAAGUAUGUUGUCUCUGUACAUAUUGGAGACCACUGGGAGGCAGAAACUUUUGCAAAUGUUUAUAUCACUCUCUAUGGAAAAAGAGGAGACACAGGUAUGAGGAAACUUCAUACAUCUUUAGCAAAAGGAAGAAAAUUUCAAAGGAAUAAGGUGGAUUCAUUUUUGGUAGAAGCUGUUUCUCUAAGUCAUUUGCAAAAAGUGGUCAUAGGACAUGAUGGAGAAGGCUAUGGGGCUGGGAUGUACCUCAAGAUGGUAACAGUCAAGGAAUCACAAGACUCAGACAAAGAAUGGGUGUUCCCAUGGUGGAAUUGGCUUGAUACUCAUCUGGGGUUAUGUGAGACUGUUUGUGAGGUUGUGACAGUUGGUAUGAGAUUGAUUUCUAGUCCUAAACUGCCUGAAAUCAACAUGAAGUCAUCAGGUCUCUGGAUAAUGGACAUCACUGGAUCUGACUUGAGCAAUGAAGUGGAUCCAAUACGCCUUUCUUUUAUCUUCUACGGCAACCUGAAGCACAAAAAGUUGCCGCUUCAAGUUACAGGAAAAGCAAUUCAAAUCAAAGAUGAACUGGCAGAUAUUGGCUUCAUAUACAAAGUUCAGGUAACCGGCCCACAUAGCGAGCUAAAACAGCCAUGGCACUUAGAUUUACUGCAUAUGAAGCACACAGGCACAAAGGAAGAAAUGUAUUUAGCUUUUGACUGCUGGUUCAACCCUAAUGAAGACAAAUGUGUGGAACUGCCAGCUCUCUAUGCAGAUCAGGAGCCUUUGCCUGUUGUGGAAUACGCAAUCCAUUUGCACACGGGAGACUUGAAGAAAGCAGAUGCCACUGGUGAGGCCUAUCUUCGUAUACAAGGAGAAAAGAGUGACUCGGGGAAAAGAUGGCUUAAUUCAAGAAACAGCCUGAUCACUUUUGCUAGAGGGCAGGUGUAUGUUUUCAAAAUCAAAGCAGUAUACCUUGGCAAGUUGAACCAAGUUGUUGCUGGAUUUAAGAGUCUAAAAAAAGAUGAGUGGUUCUUGGAAAAAAUUGUUAUAAAAGAAGUCCUCUACCCUUUCUCUGCACAUAUUUUUGUUCACAAUGACUGGAUCAAUAAAUGCUCCAAGAAAGAGUUUGUGGAAGUGGCAAUUCCGCUCAAAGAAACAUCUGUGACAUCUCUUCUCACAAAAAAUUUUGAUACUAAAAGCAGAGGACGAUGGCAAACAUGGGUACACUGUACACGAGUUCCAGAAGAUGUUCCUGAUAUUCAAAUUGUUGUAUUUGGAAGAAAAGGGAAAUCCCCUGCACAGAAAGUUCAGAAUCUGAAUGAUAAUCCAUUUUUGUUGACUGUUGGUGAUAUUGGAGAUAUAACAAAAGUUUCCUUUGUGUUAUCUGGUCCAUGCUUGGGAAGAGGAAUUAAACUUCACAAGCUUCGGCUAAAAGACCUGGACACUAAACAAGAGUUGGGCUUUCACACUGAAGCCCGAUGUCUGUUUGGAGAAGAUGGAUCUGAGACCGUGACAGAGCUAGCAGUGGUCAGGCCAGACAAGCCACCACUCCGGGGAGUUCUUUACUCGAUCAGUGUUCAUACAGGAACAUUGCCUGCAUCAGGGACUGAUGCAGAUGUAUUUAUCACAGUAUUUGGAGAGCAGGGAGAUUCCUGCAAAAGGAGACUAAGACACUCAAAUUUUGAAAGAGGACAGGUUUGUAUCUCUGAAAUGAGAGCAGUAGACCUUGGACAGUUAAGCAAAGUGCUUGUUGAGCACCAUAAUGUGGGUUAUGGAGCUGGAUGGUACCUGGAUCAAAUUGUCAUCCAUGAAUCAGGCAAGACUGAUGGCCAAUAUGCAUUUCUCUGCCAGCAAUGGUUAGACAGUGGAGUUGGUGAUGCACAGACGGAACGAAUGUUGAAACUUCUUGGAAAAGUCAGGAAUGGGAUGUUGACAGGAAAGAUUCAUGGGACUUGGGAUGUUCUUGUCACAACUAGUGAUAUUUCUUCUAGUUCCAUGAAUCCUACAAUGUGUCUAACUGUAUGUGGUGCAAAAGGUACCAGUACUUCAGUCAUAUUCCCCAAACGAUCCCUUAAAAAAAAGCAGAUUUAUGAGACUUCAAUUGAACUAAAUAAGAAAUUCAACACUAUAUUCAAAGUUCGCCUAGAAAUUGUAGAAGCUGGAGAAGGAGAGACUUGGCAUUGCCGUGAGGUAAAGCUUCAGCACAGAGAAAGUAAAAAUAUUCUAGAAUUUCCAUUUUGUUGCAACUUUGCAGAUGAAGAAGGAGGAAGAGUGGCUGAGCUUCCAGUUCUCACAGCUGGCUCUCCUUUUCCAGCAGUGAAAAGCUAUGUUCUCUAUAUCACUACGGGAGCAUCCCCUGGGUCAGGAACAGAUGCAGAUGUGUAUGUUGUGCUGCAAGGCCUUUUGGGAGAUACUGGCAGAAGAAAGUUAAUCAGAAAAGGAGAUGAUAAUUUCACUAAAGGAAAGGUGGAUGUUUUUCAAGUGGAAGCAGUAGAUGUUGGGAUUCUGCAAGUGGUGGUGGUUGAAAAAGGAAAAGGCUCUGACUGGUUUCUGGAGAAGAUUAUUGUGAAAGAGGCAGCAGCUGCAGGGACAGAAACAUUGUUUAUGGCUCAAACAUGGUUAAAAGACAGACGCGAUGGAAAAAGAUCUGCCUCAGUAGCUCUGAAUGCCACAGAAAUUCAGGAGAGGAGGAGCACUUCUGCCUGGCCUUUAGGAAAAGAACAAAUGAAUUCAGAAGGCAAAUGGAGGAUUUAUUUCACAAAACAUCAAGAAGAAACAAAAACAGACUUUGAAAAGUUGUCAGAAAAUAUAUCCAACUUGGUUAUGGUUUUUUAUGGAAGCAAUGGCAAGUCAAAUCCGGUUUCCAUGGAAAACAAAGUGGAACAUCAGGCUAAGAACCAAAUAACAUAUGAUAUACAUUUACCAUCUGAUCUGGGAAUGCUUUAUAAAGUGAGACUUGGUCUCCAGAGUUUGGAAAACAGCAUAUCCCAGUUGUCUCUUCGUCACUUUAAAAUGCAGAACACAUCAACCCUGGAUACCUUUAGUCUUACCAUAAAUAAAACACUUCCUCUUUCUCUUAAUGGAGACAGAUGGAUUGAAUUCCCUGUAGAGUGGCCGUUAAAAGAAGCACUUUCUGUGGUUACGUAUCAUCUAACAGUAUUUUCAAGAAACAUUUUGAGUGAGAGAAAUUUGGUGCAUAUGACUGCAUGUAUAUAUGGUACUCACGGUGACACAGGGGACAGAUCCCUUCUCUGGUCAUUGCAGAAUGUCCAGCAGGGAGAGAACAAUGAGUCAUUUGUAGUUAUCGUGGAUGCUGUUGAAUUGGGAGAACUGGAGAAAGUUGUUCUUUUGAUCGGCAGUAAAACAGACUGCAAACUGGACAUUAAAAAAUUGCAUUUGAAAGAAGCUGUAAAGGAGCAUCCCAUCUAUGUAUUUGAAGUGAAUGAAGCAUUUUCUGUGGAUGCAAAUAAGCCAGAAAUACAGAGAGAAAUCCCGGUAUCUUUUGUUAUUAGAGGAGACAAACAAAAGAAUGACAUAGAUAACAACUUACAUAAAGAUGGAAGUCAAGCAAGCAAUCUGACAGAGUAUACAAUUAAAGUAUACACAGGUGACAAAAGGGGAGCAGGGACUGAUGCCAAUGUGCAUAUUAUUUUAUUUGGGAAUGAGGACAAAUCUGAGGUAUUUCAGCUCUCUCAGUCACUGGAGCAUCGAAACCCCUUUGAAAGAGGAAGGGUUGAUACAUUCAAGAUUAAGACAAAAAAAUUAGGAAGCCUACAUUCAAUUGAAAUUGGUCAUGAUGGGAAAGGAUUUGCAAGUGGCUGGUUCCUGGAAAAAGUAGAAAUCACAGAUGCAUCUAGGAAUUCAGUGUAUUGCUUCAACUGUAACAGGUGGCUUGCUGAGGAUGAAAGUGAUGGCUGCACUGUAGUGCAACUCUAUCCAUAGCUGCUUGAUUUCUGAUUCUUUCUGAGUGUGCUGCUUCUCCAAAUUCAUGAUGAUUUGAUUUACUUGUAUUUUAUAAUUCUGAAGCGAAUACUCUUCUUCAGGAGCUGCCUUCGGUAUUUGAAAAUUAUUUUCUCUACCUAUACAGUGUACAAAUCAGGUUUUGGAUUUGCUUCCCUGGAUCUAGAGCCGUGUAUCAUGGAAUCAUAGAAUCGCAGAAUGGUUUGGGUUGGAAGGGACCUUCAAGAUCACCUAGUUCCACCCCACCUGCCAUGGGCAGGGACACCCUCCACUAGACCACGUUGCCCAAAGCCCCAUCCAGCCUGGCCUUGAACACUGCCAGGGAUGGGGCAUCCACAGCUUCUCUGGUUGAGGUAUAAACAACUCAACACUUUCACUAACAGGACCACCACAGCAGAGGGCUUCAUGUCAAGCACAUCAUGGAUCCUUGCAGCACAUAUUACCGGGGGAUUACACUUUGUUAAGAAAACCUGAAAUACCAUAAGAAUCUCUCCCUCAGGUCUUGCUUGGAAGACAUGCCAGCUAGCAUAUUUAGCUUGUGACUAGUGCCAAACCCCAAACUUGCCUCUUCCACAUGGCAUACAGUGAUCUAUGCUGUGUUUGGCACAGAAGUCAGUUAAUCUCUAUCCCUUGCAAGUGGGACAAUUUUUGGACAAAAUUGCUGCCAAAGACAGAGACAUGAUAGAGGUGCCACCUUGUGUGCGCUCUGCUGUUGCUGCACAGCAAGGUUGCUGCCUUGCUUUUUUCCUCCCAGCACCCUGCCCUGCCUAUGGAGAGCCUGGGCAGAUAUUGACACCACUGAUGCCUCUGUGGGGAACGGAGAUGCAGCAUGGAAAAGAGACUGCCCGGGUCAACAAAAAACCCAGGCAUUUGGCACUCAUGGGAGCCUUGGAAGGGGCAGAGAGAGAACUCAAUCAGCUGGAAAAGCCAAGGCUGUAGUGGAGAGAAGACUUCUGCUGUCUCUCCCUGCUGCAUCCUGUCCUUGAAGAUUGGUGUGAGAGGGCAGUGGCUAGAGGCUUUUGCUGUUAUUAUUAUUGCACUACAGAGAAAGCCUUGAGCUGGAGCUGGGUGCUAAAAUAUAGACGCUGAAGACCAUAACAUAGACUCUUAGGUAUAACAGAGUCUGAAAGUGUUCAUUAAGGGUCCAGUAUUGGUUAAUUCUUUUUUCCUUAUCCACUUUUCCUGAUGUGCUUUUAUAUAUAUUAUUAGGUUAAUCUAGGUGACAUAUUUCUGCCCAUUUAAGCCCUUGAGUGUCUCACUUUCUUUUGCUGAUGAUGUUAAGGAUUUGAAAAAAAUAUAACCAUGUUCUGACUGGCUCAUUGGACCAUUUAAUAUUCUCCCAGCAACUCCAAGUACUGUCUUGCUGAAACGCAUCAUACAAAAUAAAGGAUUCCCUCAUCUUAAGUACAUAUGAGCAGUUAUAUUGGAUCUAUCCAUCCUGUAGUUUGUCAGUUGUGGAAACGGAAUGAGAAUAAGAAAAAAGGAAGUACCAAGUGCUCCUCUGAGCUCCUUUAGAAGUCUUGGAUGAAUACCAUCUAGUCCUGGUGGGUUGUUAGUAUUUAUAAAUGUGUUUGCAAAUAUAAAUAUCCUCUGCUCAUACAUCAAUUUAAAAUGGUCCCUUGGACUUCUUCUUCAUGAAGAAAAGCAGUAGUCUGGAAAAGUCCACAAACUCUUCCAAACUGAGCAGUGCAAAGCAGUGUCAUAACUUUCUGUGCUGUGGCUGAAUCUUUGUUUUACAAUUCUUUGCUUGGCUUGAAUUAAUUUUAUACAGGUGAAGCAAAAGGGGAAAGAAAACAGUAGUUUUCAUUUUCUUCUUCAAACUUUUGAAGAUUCUUAAUUACAUCUUAAAUACAGUGUCACAGAGCAUGCUAAUAUCCCCUUAGGCAUUCCAUAAAUGCUUUUGCCAUUUAUCAUAAAAUGUGAUGCGCUUGGUUGUUGGUUGGUUUCUGCAUGCACAAUGGCAAUGAAAGAGUUGUCAGCAUUGUACAAAGCCCGGUUGCAAGCUCACUUCCUGUGAUGUCUUCCCAUAUGUCUAUGUCUUCUGCUAUCAUUCAUUAUAUAUCUAUGUUUAUCUUUGAUUAUAUUUUAAAAUAUAAUAUAAUAAUAUAUAAGCAACAUGAAAGGUAACUGACAUCCAUUUCUAAAUUGUAAAUGCAAAUUUAAGAAAUCCUGUGUUAAACCUUUUAAAAAUUCUAGGAAAUAGUUUCUUCUUUCAUACAUAAUAUGGAAGUCAGUAUGCUGUCAUCAA